rnacentral:lncRNA from 10 species
ACUCACACACAAUGUGCCAUCCUGACAAGGCUUUUACUUCUGAUAAGCUCCAAUGUGUGUUUAAUGAAUACAAAGCCGCGGUCUGGGUGCCGCCUCGGCCGCGGCCGCUCUCCCGCGCUCCUUUGCCAGAAGAUUGAUCUCUGGGCUGGUGAACAUAAUCUCUGUCCCAGUCAGAAAAGGAGAGAGGAAAUUAGCAGAGCGAUUGGUGGAGAAUGAUAUCUGUCAAAAGAAACACUUGGAGAGCACUGAGUUUAGUAAUAGGUGACUGCCGGAAAAAAGGGAACUUUGAAUAUUGUCAAGAUCGUACUGAGAAGCACUCCACAAUGCCAGACUCACCUGUGGAUGUGAAGACGCAAUCUAGGCUGACUCCUCCAACAAUGCCACCUCCCCCAACUACUCAAGGAGCUCCAAGAACCAGUUCAUUUACACCGACAACGUUAACUAAUGGCACGAGCCAUUCUCCUACAGCCUUGAAUGGCGCCCCCUCACCACCCAAUGGCUUCAGCAAUGGGCCUUCCUCUUCUUCCUCCUCCUCUCUGGCUAAUCAACAGCUGCCCCCAGCCUGUGGUGCCA